ensembl:lncRNA
AGCAUUUUAAACAAGAAAUAUUUACAGGCUGCUAAUGUAUUAAAUAACCAUGAAAAGAAAAAACUUGCCUUUAUUACACACCAGCAAAAAACACAGGAACGGAACAAUUAGGAACUGUAACCUCAUUAAAAAAUUAAAUACGAUUAUUUAGAGAAUACAAUACCACAGAAACAGUACUUUUUUUUUGAAGAAUCAUAUUGAAGGAUGAGUCAAGUUAAUUAUGUGCAAAAAAAAGUACCAGUAAAUACUGGGAGCAAAAACCAUCAUUAAGAAUGCUGUGAAUUUAACCCUUUCAUGUGUAGUUAUUUCAUCUACCUAAAAAAAUUAACAGGCUUUUCAAUUGCACAAAUCUUUUUAUAGGCUUAUAUACAUAUGUCAUUGUGUUUUCAACAUAAUAAAUGCCUACAUUUUUCAGACCAGUAGCAGACAUGCAUUUCUUUUCAUGUUUGAAAUUUAGGUCACACUCAAAAGGGAAUGCUGCAAUGGCACUUAGAAAAUGCUUUUAGUGCCUUAUCAUGUAGAAAUUCAGCUACUUCAAAAGAACAGUCUUCAAUUGUAAAGAUCACUUGCUAGAAAAAAGGGUAAAACUGAAUUUUUGAACAUUUUGAAGUUCAACCAUUAUGUUAAAGAUAUCCAAAUUAAUUGUACUUUUUGAAAACUAUUGAUUCUCAGAUACAAUAAAAAGCAUUAUUAUAAAGGAACAAGUUGGCAAUCACAAGGAACUAAAGUGGAAUUUCUAUACAUGCAUUUUUAACAGAGUAAAAGAAACUGCCAUAUCCAAGUGUGUAUGUGAAGUCUGAAAUAUGUCUAUGUAAACUGUGGCAUAUAAAUUUAUUUCUUAAAAAAAGUACCUCCGUUAUUUACUCAAACACCUACUUUUAAAAAAAUAAGUAACUUUCCCCAAUUUUUAAAAUAAAAUGCCACAAUAUAUUGUCAGCAACUCCUGCACAUUUAUAUUUUUAUUUUUAAAAGCUAGUCUUGGCGAUAUGCAUACAAACUUUCCUAUAAAAUCACUGUCCAAAGGAAAGGAAUCAUGUCAUGCUAUUUAUUAGGCAACAGACUUAAAGCAGUUUUAUUGCUUUUCAAAAAAGAGACAAUUGGGAGGGAAAAAAUGGUGGACUCUUGUGUCCAGAAUGUUGUUAAUAUGUACUGCAAUUUGGAAACAUUGCUGCUGUUACCUAAACUUCAGCAGAUUAGUUAAUAAAGAAUGUUCAAUGACAAGCAUAGAGAGGGUUUUCUAAUUAUAAGGGGAUAAAAAUUUUAUAAAAUAUUUCAUUGAUCCAAUGUUAAUGAUGUUGAUAGCCACUGGUGCUGAAUGCCAGCGUUGACAAGAAAUCAAAUAUCUAAAUUUAUAGAGCAUGUCUGCUUGUUAAAAGUGUGUAUGGGAUGGGGGAUUUAAAAAAAAAAAAAAAAAAAAAGGGAACAAGGGGCCAGGGAGAAAAAAAGAAUGAGGCAGGUGGUCACGCACCCCUUUUUUUGGAUAGGAACAUAGCCUUCAUAAUAUGUGGUAGGCUACAGUCCCAGGGCACAGUCAGGAGACCUGAAUCUAUUUAGCUGGUUAACACAAAUCACUAGUAAUUACAAGGCAGGAUACCUGCUGAGGUAAUUAAUCAGUCCACAAUUAGCACACUAUACACUUUUCACAUCUAUUUCAGAACAAACUGCCUUUACUUCUUUGGAUUAACUUAAAAAAAAAAAAACAAAAAAAAAACACUUAGGGCCAGCUACAACCAAAAAUGAGAUGUCAUUUUAUUUAAAAAAAGUAUUCCUUUAAGCAAGUAUUAGAAAUAAUUACAUUAUUUGACUAUCCAGACAUUUUACAUCAUAAAGUAGAACACCCAGAGAAACCAUCUCAGCUUCAGGCCCUUCAUUCUGUGAUAGGAGCUUGAAUGUUUAUUGUCAGCACAGCAAAUUCUAAAGCCUAAAAGCUCAGAACCUCCCUCCACAUGUAUUCAUUGCGUAAAGUCAUCCCUUCACAGCUACGAAUACACUGGGUCAGGUGCUGUGAACUACCAACAUUUAAGCCAUCACAGAUCAAGAAGUGGCUUUUUACUUUAAUGUCCUUAGUUUUAUUUUGGGUGGGGAGCUAGGGGUAGGUGUUGUGGGAAAGAAUCUAAAGCCUUUGAAAAAAUGAGACUUUUCCAGCAAUUUCUCCUACAAAGAAAUAUGCCAAUACGAAAAUUCUAAAAUUUUUGAGAAACACAUGGAUAUAAGGUUUUCAAAAUAACCCCCAAUACCCUCAACUGUUAUUCCAUGUUUAAAAUUGGUCUUCAGUUGCAACUUAAUAGGAAAACAUGCAAAGUUUCUGGCUAUCAAGAGAAUUUAUAGUAACAAGGUCCAGUGCUAUUGAUAAAAUACAAUACGGGAUACUCAAAAGAAGUAAUCUUCUUAUCAGAGCUUACAUUCUGGCUAGUAUGUAAGGAAAAAAUUCAACUAAGUCCAAAGUGAAUUCUUUUGACCUUCAGUUUAUUUGUGCAGCAUUGAAUGGCUACUGAAAAAGCAAUAUGGUUUUCUGCAUAUCAAAUUUCAAAUGAUUUGAAGAAUUUCUUUUUAACAUAGUCUUUAAGAUACCAAACUUUGCCUCAUCUCUAUCUUCCCCAAAAUACAAAUGCUGGAAAACAAAUAAAAUAUAAAACUGAUAAUUCCAUCUUGUUUUCCAAAUUGACAGAUUGUGAUGAUGGGACAAUAAUGAAGAAUCAUGAAAGGGAAAGAAAAGUCACAGCCCCGUGUCAGGACUCAAAGCAAUCCUGCCUCCUUAAAAGGGAACUAACUGGUCACCUUCUUGACCUAAAAAAGAUUUUCGAACAAAUGUUUUCCCACUCAUUCCAUGAUAAAGAAGGGAGAAGGUAGAAAGGAAAGGGGAGAGGGAGAGAGGACUCAAAGGAAGAGAAAAAUUCUUUCAAAUAAAAAAGGUAGCUAUUUUUGGAAGAAAACUGUUCUCUACAAACUUGAGUGAAAUUCUAAAAUAUUUUAAUGCCUCUUUUGUAAUUCAAUUUACAGGAAGGCUUGGAAUUCAAGAUCAUACAGGGAGGUGAGUCAAACCAGCACUUAUGGACUCCAACUCUGUUUUAAUAUUUUAGAAAAGUCUCAAGGUUAUUUGUUUUUCU